UUCACUUCAUGUUAUGAAGUCAGUAAGGCAGAUGGAGAAACGGAAGCAUACUGUAGCAAAGAGAGUUGUACUAGAGGAAAAAAAAUAAGGAAGGAUCAGAGGUGGAUCUGGAUUUCCACCCUUUUUGAUGACAUGACUUUUUUUUAAAGAUUUUAUUUAUUUUUUCAGGAAAGACACACACACACACACACACACACACACACACACACACACAGAGGCAGAGACCCAGGCAGAGGGAGAACCAGGCUCCAUGCAGGGAGUCUGGUGUGGGACUCGAUCCUGGGACUCCAGGAUCACGCCCUGGGCUGAAGGCAGGUGCUAAACCACUGAGCCACCCAGGGAUCCCAGGACAUGACUUGUUGACACAACCUGUGGUCCAGUCCCCCAGUCUUCAUCUUGAGGUGAAUGCUUGUUGCAAGAUACCUUCAGGCAAACCAAAGAAAAAGAUGAACCCUGUUCCAGCCUUACUGAAGUUGGUACCUAUGCUUAUUUCAUGUGAAUCAGUCCUAAAUCCCAGUCUUGAAUACACUUUGGGCCUCUUCAUGGGUGCUAGGUGAGUAAGAGCAUUUUUGUGUAUGUAUUCUAUAGAGAAAGAACUAUCUUCUGUUUGGGAAAAAGAAGAGAGAGAGAGAGAGAGAGACUUAUUCAAUGUGGAGCCCAGAAGUACUGUUGCCUAAAGUGAGACACACCAGGUUUGGAAAAAGCUUUUUCCCACUUGUUAGUCUAGGAACAUAGACUCAUGUAAUGAAAUCAGUUGUCCUCAGAGUUCUUAGCCAUAUUCUAGUUCCUGCCUCUUCUGGUUGGCAAAGAAAGUUCAGAAAGAAUUAUAAAAAAAGGUAAAUUGUGCCCCAUUCUUACUCCAAACUUCUGGACACUAAAAACACCUGAAUGCAUGCCCUAUUCUCAAAACUUCUCUGAAUCUCUUUGGUUGAUGGAGAAGCUUGUUUUAUAUAUAUAUAUAUAUAUAUGGCACCACGCCCAGUGUGAAGCCCAAUACAGGGUUCGAACUCACAACUAUGAGAUCAAGCUAUAAGCUGAAGGGUGCCUGGGUGGCUUAGUCAGUUAAGCAUUUAACUCUUGCUUUCAGCUCAGGUUGUGAUCUCAGGGUCCUGAGAUUGAGCCACGUGUCUGGCUUGUGCACAGAGGAAGUCUGCUUUAGUUUCUCUCCCCUACUCCCUCUGCCCUUCCUGCUUGUGUGUGCAUUCACUCACUCUCUCUCUUUUUCUCUCCCUCUCAAAUAAGUAAAUUAAUCUAAAAAAAGAAAAAAAGGAUCUGAGCUGAGAUCAAGAGUCAGACACUUAACCAACUAAGCCCCCCAGGUGCCCCACUUAUUUGAUAUUUUUUAAGAUUUUGAGUACAAGCAGGGAUUUAGAGCCAAGCCAGUUAAUGUUCUAAUGAUACAGCUUUGCAGACCUAAGAUUUUCUUAAUUGGUAUCAAGAUGUAGCGAAAAGUUGACUUACAGUUCAUUGUUUUUUUCCACUAAAUCUGUCAUAGAAUGAGUUCUUAUGAAUUUAACUCUCAACUGAAAUCUUAGAAUAUCUAAGUAGCCACUUUAUUCUAUUCCCAGUUGAGUCACAAGGAGAUAUGAGGGCCUCAUCAACAGCGUCAGGUACAUUUCUUCACUUUUCUGUCAACGAAUUUCUCCUGUAUAUAAACAUAACCUCCCAUGCUAUAAAAUAACCUACUGCUACUAAUUUAUUUUGUGGAAAUGGACCUCAUGUAAGGUUGCUGAUCUCUUUAUUUAAAAAACAAAAGCAAAAAACAAGCAGAAAUACCUUCAAAUGACAGUCAGCUUUUUUUUUAUUUUAUUCAAAUUGCAGGUUGUUUUAUUUUUGCCUGAUGCUCUAUAACUUCAUAGUGGUGGGAAAACUACUUAUUAAGAAGAAAUGAAGCAAUUUGGAGUCUAGAUGGUGCCAGAGUGAAUAAAUUAAACAUAUCCCCCCAGAAACAUGUAAACAAAAAGGAAUUUCUUACAAAAAGCCACCUAGAUCUUUGGCAAAGAGUUUAAAAUUCAUUACUAUUGGGUUUGGUUAUUGGCUUUGUGGGUCCUAGUUUCAGCCUGACUGAAUGAUAUAAGAAUGUAGAUUGAUGGAAAUGGGGGAGGGGUGCUCUAUUAGAUUUUGUUAAGCCAAGAGUUGAAAAUCUUGAGAAUUAUUUCCUAUAAUAGCCUCCAUUGUUACUGAUGUGUCAGGCACCCAGCAUGAUGCUGCAGAUACAAAGAUGAACAAAUCCCAAUCGCCAAUAUCAUGAAAUUUUAAAGAUGUAGAAAAGAGGUAACCAAACAAUUUCAGCAAAGUAUGGCAAAUGCUAAGAUAGAGGAGUAAGAUCAACCAAGAACCCUUCAUGACUGACAAUGUUUCUUAAAUGGAUUCUGGGAUUUGGGGCUCACUGCGUGUCCUUCAUUAUCUGUGUCAUAUUUGCCAUUUUAUGAGGUGGUAAGGUAGUUUUCAUCAGAUGAAAUCUAGACUCAAAUUAUGGUUUGAUCCCCCUGUUAACCUGGUUGAUUCUUAGUUAUGUCAUUUAUGAAAUGAAGAUGGAUAUAUCUCUUUGGCUUAUUAUGAGGAUCAAAUAAGACUAAAGUAGAGUGCUUAGCUCAGUGCCUGGCAUAGAGUAAGCCUUCAGUAAAUAACAGCUCGUGUUGAUGCUCCUCUUGUUAUUGCUGCUGUCAUUAGGUUCUGAGAAACUCCAGUAAAUAUUUUUCUCUUACUAUUGUGUUAGAUUGUGGCAAACCUGUGACUCACUGUGGUUCACCUACUUACUGUUGUUAAUUCCUCUCUUCCUCUUCUUUUCUCAUGCCCUGAGUGCCUUUCCAGCUCACCUAUGGCUCAUGGGCAUUUCCCCUCACAGACUGUCUUCCUGCAGAAAGCAUCCUCCUUCCUGGAGAAAGAGGAUGAUUUAUGGGAAGCCAUGAGGUUUAGGAGUCUAUAGGGGAAAGGAGAUGAGAACAAGGUAGAUGAGGGCUUUUGACUGACUCAGACACUCAAGGACCUUGCUGAUAAAAUGUAAGAGGGCCUAGAAACUAAUAGGGAAUCAACUGAGUUGCUUUGAGGAUAAGGUGAGAAAAUUUUCCUUUGCUUAUCAGGGUGCUUAAAAAGAGAGUAUUGACAUCAAUAUUCUGGAAGCAGAAAGCCUAAUAUGAGGAGAGAAGUGAGAGGAGACAUGACAGAAGAAUGAAGCACCAAAGGAAAAGAAUGAUUAAAACUUCGACAGCAAGAGGGGCACCUGGGUGGCUAAGUCAGUCAACAACUCUUGAUUUUUGGCU
rnacentral:lncRNA from 1 species